rnacentral:rRNA from 1 species
CAGUAGCCGCGGUAAUACGAGGGGAGCUAGCGUUGUUCGGAAUUACUGGGCGUAAAGCGCGCGUAGGCGGCUUUUUAAGUCAGAGGUGAAAGCCCGGGGCUCAACCCCGGGAUUGCCUUUGAAACAGGAAAGCUAGAAUCUUGGAGAGGUCAGUGGAAUUCCGAGUGUAGAGGUGAAAUUCGUAGAUAUUCGGAAGAACACCAGUGGCGAAGGCGACUGACUGGACAAGUAUUGACGCUGAGGUGCGAAAGCGUGGGGAGCAAACAGGAUUAGAUACCCCUGUAGUCCCUGUCUCUUAUAC